rnacentral:rRNA from 1 species
UACGGAGGGCGCAAGCGUUAUCCGGAUUUACUGGGUUUAAAGGGUGCGCAGGCGGAUAUGUAAGUCAGUGGUGAAAUCUUCCCGCUUAACGGGAAAACUGCCAUUGAUACUAUAUAUCUUGAAUGCUGUGGAGGUAAGCAGAAUAUGUCAUGUAGCGGUGAAAUGCUUAGAGAUGACAUAGAAUACCUAUUGCGAAGGCAGCUUACUACGCAGAUAUUGACGCUCAUGCACGAAAGCGUGGGGAUCAAACAGG